rnacentral:lncRNA from 1 species
AAGUGCUUUUGGCUUCCCAAAAACUUGGCCAAACAAGAUCAAUGAGGAUGUGGUUAUGAUGCCCUUUGUAUUUGUUAGAAUUACAACAACAACAACAACCCAAUAUAAUCCCACUUAGUGGGGUCUGGGGAGGGUAGUGUGUCCACAGACCUUACCCCUACCCUUGGGUAGAGAGGCUGUUUCCAAAUAGACCCUCGGCAUCCUUCCCUCCAAGAACUUCCCACCUUGCNNNNNNNNNNNNNNUAGUGUGUACACAGACCUUACCCCUACCCUGGGGUAGAAAAGCUGUUUCCAAAUAGACCCUCGACAUCCUUUCCUCCAAGAACUCCCGACCUUGCUCUUGGUGAGACUCGAAUUCACAAACUCUCGGUUGGAAGUGGGGGUUGCUUACCAUCAGAGCAACC